rnacentral:lncRNA from 1 species
AGUACAGAUGUCUGCCUACACGCUCAUCACCCAUAAAUACCCACUCGCAAAACUAAAAGAAAGAUGUCUCGCCCUGCAAGAGAGAAACGCUAAGACCGCAGUUCACUUCCUAGCUUCCCGGUUUCAUCUUGGCGAGGGUGUUGUUUGGAAGCACCUCUCCCUACUCAGGGAGAGACUGUGCAGGCAGAAAAGCAAUAGGACUGGAUGUGGAAGUCUGUAAAACCCCCGCCAGAUUCACGUGCUCUGAGGAUUUCCACGCACCUCCACCGCUGGCAGCCAGGCUCCCGGAGCCUGGGGUAACGAGCGUUCCAAGGCGAAGAGAGGAACCAGCAAAUCAGAGCAGAAAAGGAAAGCGACUCCAGGGAACGAGGGCUUCAGCUCCAAUAAAUGAGCGGAUGCUGAUGAGAUGGAAUUUACAUUUAAGUCACAAAGUUGCUGGGCCUGGAUUGUAAGUGUUGGACAAUAAAGUCAUUUGGAAACAUC